AUGAGCUCACAGUCACACAGAAGGGCCCUUCUACGAGGAGAGCGCCAAGCACUGGAGAGAAAAACAUGGCAAAAAGGGAAGGUUAGCUGUGGAUCCGGGAAGUGGAGGUGUUGCCCGCCCCGCUGGAGGAAGCUGGAGUUUUUGUUUGUUGGUGCACAGAAGCUUGGGGUUGGGGUGACAGCUCAUGAUGUGGCAUUUUCUGAGUCACGACGCUCUCCACACGGAGGGUCACAUGCCCAAGGCAGAUGCAAGCACAGCAAGGCCAAGGUCAGGCUGAGCACAGAAAUGAAAGGGAAGCGGCUGCACGUGGGAAGACCCGGCAGGCAGACCAAGGAAAUGAACACACACAGCAAGUCAAACACCAGAUCAGCUGAGAGGUGUGAAUUCUCCAGAAAUUUCAAAGUUCAAGUCUCCCUAAGACAAAUGGGGAUGUGCCCAAGUUGCUUUUGUACUUCUGGAUGAGAAAAAAGAAUAGACAAUUUUUUUCAGUCCCCAACACUGAUAGAAUCAGCAUAAUACACUCAAUACAGUGCUUUAGGAACUGCCUGGAUAUUUGCAGCACCUCUGGGGGUUGAAUGCCUGACAUCCUGAUGUGGGGACAACUUGAGAGUCAACCUGAUCCUGCUGUCAACCUCUGCCCCUCCCCCCAUGACUUGGACCUUGGCUGCUUGGAUUGCCUUCACAAACCUGCAAGGGCAGCAGUAGGCAAUUUGGGGGUUGGCCAUGAUGGAUACGUUACGACACGCAUAUAUAUAUUAUAUAUAUUCAUUGCAAAUUCUCCUCCAGGGAAAAGCCCUGAACAAAGUGCUUCUAAAUUGUUUUCUAUUGUGUUAUGGAAGAGGCUGGGGUGGGGGGGGGAGUUGAGAAACUGUACUGGAGAUGGAAACAGAUGUAGCAGCCAGCGAGCGAGGAUGACAGUUGCUAACAGCCCAUCCUGAGGGAAGGAGACAGGAGGAAUGCUUAGACAACACACUGAUUGGGGUUUAGACACAGCAGAGCUACAAACAAACCUGGCUUCUAAUCUGACAAGUUGGAAAAUAUUUGGAUCACCAACUGCUGUUGGGAGGGAGCUGGUCUCUAAGGUGAAGGGUGAGAAAGAUCUGGGUGAGGAUGAGGCCCUUCUUGGCUCACAGGCUGAUGGAGUUUGGUAAAAGUCUCAAGGUCAUUGCCACCGAAGCAAAUUAAUAUGAACUUCCAUAGCUAAGGAAGAGCCAGACAAAAAUCAGAAUCCAGGAUUCCUGGCAGAGCCCUGUGCCCUUUCCAAAUCAGAAGUCAAGAACGAGUAAAAGUAGACAGUUAUAACCCCAAACUUCUAGAUUUUGUGGAGUCCCAUUUUCUAGCUGAUGAACAUACAAGAUCCUCUAAGAGCAGUGGCACAAAAUUCAUGAACUAAGGUUCAUGGCUUGGGCUCCACUCUAUUUUAAAAACACAUUAAAAUGCAAUUUUAUUUCUAACUUUAACGAUUAGACAAGUUCCCAUAAUAAUCUGGGUCUCUGGCUGCUCUGGGAAAAGUCAGUUGCUUGGUGGGAAGAGGAGAAGGAGUUCCCUCACCCUGCAGUUGAGGUCAAGUGGGCUGCCCUCACACACCUGCCUGGCUUGGUUAACUUACACCAUCUACCUGGCCUGUGUAGGUACUUUGCAACCCCUGGGACCGGGAAAGAGCCCUGGGCUGACAGUUGGUACUUCAUAUCACAGAAGUUAAUGGAGGGAAAUGGGCAGGAGAACACAGGGCAGGAAGGAGCAGCCAGCCAAGGUCACAAAAGCAAAAGGUCGUGUCCAAAAUCCAGGGACAGAGUUUUCAUCUAUUUCUGGAUGAAAGAACAGGAUGUGGGAACCAAAACUGUGGUCAGCUCUCUUACAGCACACAACAGUGGUGAGUUAGGCAAAGCAUCCUUCUAUUUUUAACGGAUCUCCAAGCUUCGUCAGAGGACCUUGCUGCUGACUAAUCUUGCCGAAGCGUCUUUUUCUGAAUUGCAUAAAUGCCAUCCACACAGGCUGAAGAACACUGGAGAGAAAAACUGCAAAGACACAGGUCACGUUAUAAAUAGUGUAUAAACAGGAGCGGAGUGUUCCGGGCCACAGCUCUUUGGAAGUCCUCUAGGAUUUCGUGGUUGAGCCACGCAGACAUGAAACGAGAAGCUGUUCAUUUGUUUGAGCUGAAUUAAUGGCUGAUGGUUCUUUUUGUUGUUGUUGUUGUUGUUUAUUUGUUGUUUAUUUGUUCGCUUCACUCCCUAUCCUUCAUCCCAAAGUACAACAAGGGCUGCUUUUUUACACUGUAUGAAAAUGUAUGCAGAUUUUUCAGCAAAACAACCUUUUAUUUGUAUGUCCUUGCACCAGGAGAAGGCAUGCUAAUAACCAUGCUUCAAAAGGCAGGGUGGGAGAGACGUCCUGGGUUCAAAUCCAGCUUCUUGAACAUGCCUUCAAGAACAAGGUUUACUGUUCCUCACUCAUAAAACUACAAUAUACUCAGAAAUUUGGUGAACUAAUUCAUUCAACGUGCCUGCUACCCCAGUAAGAACACUAACAGAUGCUGUUGUCUGGGAAGGAGGGAGAUACACUUGGUUAUACCACCUCACAAACAGUUCCUGAGUAAUAGCUAAUAAAUAAUAAGCUCAUUCUUUAAAUUUUGAGAAC
rnacentral:lncRNA from 1 species